rnacentral:tRNA from 1 species
GGUAAAAUGGCUGAGUGUAAAGCGGUGGGCUGUAGACCCAUAAAUAGGGGUUUAACUCCUCUUUUUAUCA